AAUAUACUCCCUCCAUCUGAAAAUACUUGUCCUAAAAAUGGUUGUAUCUAGACUUAUUUUAAUUAUAGAUAUAUUCAUUUUUAACCAUUUCUAAGACAAGUAUUUCCGGACGAAGGAAGUAUAAA
rnacentral:pre_miRNA from 1 species